AAACAUCGCCUCCUGCAACACAACUAUGUAUAGGAGGUCCAGCCUGCCCAGUGACUACAAGUUCAACGGCCGCGGUAUUUUGACCGUGCAAAGGUAGCGUAAUCACUUGUCUUUUAAAUAAAGACCUGUAUGAAUGGCUAAACGAGGGCUUAACUGUCUCCCCUUUCCAGUCAGUGAAAUUGAUCUGCCCGUGCAGAAGCGGACAUAAAAAUACAAGACGAGAAGACCCUUUGGAGCUUAAGGUACAAAACUUAACCACGUCAAGCAACUCAACAAAAAGCAAAAACUUUGUGGAAUAUAAGAUUUUACCUUCGGUUGGGGCGACCACGGAGGAAAACAAAGCCUCCAAGUGGACUGGGAAAUAUACUCCUAAAACCAAGAGAGACAUCUCUAAGCCACAGAACAUCUGACCAAGCAUGAUCCGGCUGCCCAAAGCCGAUCAACGAACCAAGUUACCCUAGGGAUAACAGCGCAAUCCUCUCCCAGAGUCCAUAUCGACGAGGGGGUUUACGACCUCGAUGUUGGAUCAGGACAUCCUAAUGGUGCAGCCGCUAUUAAGGGUUCGUUUGUUCAACGAUUAAAGUCCUACGUGA
rnacentral:rRNA from 1 species